rnacentral:misc_RNA from 1 species
UCUCCGUUGGUGAACCAGCGGAGGGAUCAUUACAGAGUUUUCACAACUCCCAACCCUUGCGAACCGUACCCAUUCUGUUCUCGUUGCUUCCGGCGGGCGGGACCCGGGUGCCCGAAACGGGCGCCCCCCCCACCCCGCCGGGGGCGGACGGCCCCACGUGCUUUUAUAGCCCUACCUCCAGAUACUGUUUGAGAAAACAAAAAAAAUAAACAAAACUUUCAAUAACGGUUCCCUUGGCUCUGACCUCGAUGAAGAAGGCAGCAAAUCGGAAGAACACCA